GCGCGUCUUACCAUGCNAGUCGAACGCUGAAGCUCCAGCUUGCUGGGGUGGAUGAGUGGCGAACGGGUGAGUAAUACGUGAGUAACCUGCCCUUGACUCUGGGAUAAGCCUGGGAAACCGGGUCUAAUACUGGAUACGACGUCCCAUCGCAUGGUGGGGUGUGGAAAGGGUUUUACUGGUUUUGGAUGGGCUCACGGCCUAUCAGCUUGUUGGUGGGGUAAUGGCCUACCAAGGCGACGACGGGUAGCCGGCCUGAGAGGGUGACCGGCCACACUGGGACUGAGACACGGCCCAGACUCCUACGGGAGGCAGCAGA
rnacentral:rRNA from 1 species